rnacentral:rRNA from 2 species
GGGUUGUGAGGUUAAGCGACUAAGCGUACACGGUGGAUGCCCUGGCAGUCAGAGGCGAUGAAGGACGUGCUAAUCUGCGAAAAGCGUCGGUAAGGUGAUAUGAACCGUUAUAGCCGGCGAUG